rnacentral:lncRNA from 1 species
UUUAGAUGAUAGUCGCUUUGGCACAAACCCCAAACUUCUUUAACGUCUCAAUGUAGCUUCCCUAGAGGCACCAAUGUAACCCUAGAGACCAUUUUGCUCAGAAUGCUCUGUGUCCCGCUGACCACAGCCUGCCUCGUUCCUUUCCAUCCUGGUCUUGGUGCUCCCUACUGAGUGUACAGACAACGUGCUGCCUUUUGGGCAGGGCAGAAAGCUGAGCUAUCCUCCACCAUUUCAGGUUUUAGCGUGGCUGUGAGAUGAAUCUGAUCCAGCAUCUGGCCAAACUCAGGGACCAACGCACUGAUCGGCUGUUCCCUAUGACUGCAGUGUGUCAGCACUCAAGCUGGGAAAGUUUGAGGGCACGUGUUUCCUAUCCCUCUGCCUAUGGACCUAAGAGCAGAGACUGAUAGGGAUCGAUAUUCAGAAAGGAGCGCAGUUUGGCAGAGGAUGCCAAAGGAGCCUGCUGAGCGUGGCCACAGAUGAUCCCAGCUGAGCGUGGCCACUCACAAACUGAAGAGAACCUCUGUGCUGUGUCAUCAAUUGGAGCUGCAAUAAAUGAUCCUAUAUCAAGCACUGUGCUUUUCAUUCCUCAAAAUGACUUACAAAGUGAGGUAUUCUGAUGGCAUGACUGCAUCACGUGAAUCGGAGCAACUUUUGGAACAAAAAAAAGGGAGUGUAUCUCUAAACCUGAUGGCUGCAGAAUGGGAGGCUUGCAAAUGAGUCCAACACGCGCCAUUAGACCUGGGAAGUCAGGACGAACCACAGAGAAGCUAUGAUGUGUGCAGACAUGCGUGCAGCAAUUUUACAACAGAUAGAGUCGAUCCACCCCGAAGAUGAUGUAUGAUGUGGUUGUGUUCUCUGCCUUG